CAGCCGCCGCGGGAAUACGAAGGGGGCUAGCGUUGUUCGGAUUUACUGGGCGUAAAGGGCGCGUAGGCGGACUGAUAAGUCAGGGGUGAAAUCCCAAGGAUCAACCUUGGAACUGCCUUUGAUACUGUUUGUCUUGAGUUCGAGAGAGGUAAGUGGAACUGCGAGUGUAGAGGUGAAAUUCGUAGAUAUUCGCAAGAACACCAGUGGCGAAGGCGGCUUACUGGCUCGAAACUGACGCUGAGGCGCGAAAGCGUGGGGAGCAAACAGGAUUAGAUACCCGCGUAGUCCCUGUCUCUUAUAC
rnacentral:rRNA from 1 species